UGGACGGCUCAAUGGGUGGUAAUUUCAUCUAAAGCUAAAUACUGGCUGGAGACCGAUAGCGCACAAGUAGAGUGAUCGAAAGAUGAAAAGCACUUUGGAAAGAGAGUCAAAAAGUACGUGAAAUUGUUGAAAGGGAAGCGCUUGCAACCAGACCUGUCCGUAGGUGAUCAGCCGCCGUUCUCGGUGGUGCACUCGCCUGCGAUCAGGCCAGCAUCGGUUCGGGCGGUCGGAUAAAGGCCCUGGGAAUGUAGCUCCUCUCGGGGAGUCUUAUAGCCCUCGGUGCAAUGCGGCCAGCCCGGACCGAGGACCGCGCUUCGGCUAGGAUGCUGGCGUAAUGGUUGUAAGCGACCCGUCUUGAAACACGGACCAAGGAGUCUAACAUCUAUGCGAGUGUUUGGGUGUUAAACCCAUACGCGGAAUGAAAGUGAACGGAGGUGAGAACCCUUUAGGGCGCAUCAUCGACCGAUCCAGAUGUCUUCGGAUGGAUUUGAGUAUGAGCAUAGCUGUUGGGACCCGAAAGAUGGUGAACUAUGCCUGAAUAGGGUGAAGCCAGAGGAAACUCUGGUGGAGGCUCGCAGCGGU
rnacentral:rRNA from 1 species